rnacentral:rRNA from 1 species
GGACCCGCACAAGCGGUGGAGCAUGUGGUUUAAUUCGACGAUACGCGAAGAACCUUACCUGGGCUUGACAUAGGGAGGAGACGCAAGAGAUUGUGUUGUGCCAGCUUGCUGGAGCUUCCAUACAGGUGCUGCACGGCUGUCGUCAGCUCGUGUCGUGAGAUGUUGGGUUAAGUCCCGCAACGAGCGCAACCCUCGUGUUUAGUUGCUAACAGGUGAAGCUGAGAACUCUAGACAGACUGCCUGGGUAACCAGGAGGAAGGUGGGGACGACGUCAAGUCAUCAUGGCCCUUACGUCCAGGGCUACACACGUGCCACAAUGGGGUAUACAAAGAGCAGCGAUACGGAGACGUGGAGCAAAUCUAUAAAAUAUUUCUCAGUUCGGAUCGUAGUCUGCAACUCGACUACGUGAAGUUGGAAUCGCUAGUAA